rnacentral:rRNA from 1 species
UACGGAAGGCAGCAGUGGGGAAUAUUGCACAAUGGGCGCAAGCCUGAUGCGAGCCAUGCCGCGUGUAUGAAAAAGGCCUUCGGGUUGUAAAGUACUUUCAGUCGUGAGGAAGGUGUUAAGGUUAAUAACCUUAGCAAUUGACGUUAGCGACAGAAGAAGCACCGGCUAACUCCGUGCCAGCAGCCGCGGUAAUACGGAGGGUGCGAGCGUUAAUCGGAAUUACUGGGCGUAAAGGGCACGCAGGCGGUUAAUUAAGUUGGAUGUGAAAUCCCCGGGCUUAACCUGGGAAUGGCAUUCAAGACUGGUUAGCUAGAGUCUUGUAGAGGGGGUAGAAUUCCAUGUGUAGCGGUGAAAUGCGUAGAGAUGUGGAGGAAUACCGGUGGCGAAGGCGGCCCCUGGACAAAGACUGACGCUCAUGUGCGAAAGCGUGGGGAGCAAACAGGGAUUAGAUACC